rnacentral:rRNA from 1 species
AUUGAACGCUGGCGGCAGGCCUAACACAUGCAAGUCGAGCGGAUGAAGGGAGCUUGCUCCUGGAUUCAGCGGCGGACGGGUGAGUAAUGCCUAGGAAUCUGCCUGGUAGUGGGGGAUAACGUCCGGGAACGGGCGCUAAUACCGCAUACGUCCUGAGGGAGAAAGUGGGGGAGCUUCGGACCUCACGCUAUCAGAUGAGCCUAGGUCGGAUUAGCUAGUUGGUGGGGUAAAGGCCUACCAAGGCGACGAUCCGUAACUGGUCUGAGAGGAUGAUCAGUCACACUGGAACUGAGACACGGUCCAGACUCCUACGGGAGGCAGCAGUGGGGAAUAUUGGACAAUGGGCGAAAGCCUGAUCCAGCCAUGCCGCGUGUGUGAAGAAGGUCUUCGGAUUGUAAAGCACUUUAAGUUGGGAGGAAGGGCAGUAAGUUAAUACCUUGCUGUUUUGACGUUACCAACAGAAUAAGCACCGGCUAACUUCGUG